GAUGAACGCUGGCGGCGUGCCUAAUACAUGCAAGUCGAGCGAACAGAUGAGGAGCUUGCUCCUCUGACGUUAGCGGCGGACGGGUGAGUAACACGUGGAUAACCUACCUAUCAGACUGGGAUAACUUCGGGAAACCGGAGCUAAUACCGGAUAAUAUAUUGAACCGCAUGGUUCAAUAGUGAAAGACGGUUUUGCUGUCACUUAUAGAUGGAUCCGCGCCGCAUUAGCUAGUUGGUAAGGUAACGGCUUACCAAGGCAACGAUGCGUAGCCGACCUGAGAGGGUGAUCGGCCACACUGGAACGGAGACACGGUCCAGACUCCUACGGGAGGCAGCAGUAGGGAAUCUUACGCAAUGGGCGAAAGCCUGACGGAGCAACGCCGCGUGAGUGAUGAAGGUCUUCGGAUCGUAAAACUCUGUUAUUAGGGAAGAACAAAUGUGUAAGUAACUAUGCACGUCUUGACGGUACCUAAUCAGAAAGCCACGGCUAACUACGUG
rnacentral:rRNA from 1 species